rnacentral:rRNA from 1 species
UGGGGAAUAUUGCACAAUGGAGGGAACUCUGAUGCAGCGACGCCGCGUGAGUGAUGAAGGAAUUUGUUUCGUAAAACUCUGUUCUAUGGGAAGAAAAGGACUGUACCAUAGGAGAAAGCUCCGGCCAAAUACGUGCCAGCAGCCGCGGUAAUACGUAUGGAGCGAGCGUUGUCCGGAAUUAUUGGGCGUAAAGGGUGCGCAGGCGGCUUUACAAGUUGGAUGUGAAAUAUUGUGGCUCAACCACAAACGUGCAUCCAAAACUGCAAAGCUUGAGUUAAGGAGAGGUAAGUGGAAUUCCUGGUGUAGCGGUAGAAUGCGUAGAUAUCAGGAGGAAUACCGGUGGCGAAGGCGACUUACUGGACUUAAACUGACGCUCAGGCACGAAAGCGUGGGGAGCAAACAGG